CAGCAGUAGAUUGAUACUAUAGUAGACUGAUACUGUUGCAUGGCUUGCCAAGCAUGCAGCCUUUAUUAGCUUUUGCCAGAUGGUCUAUGAUAUCUGUACACCAAGGCUUCUGUGGAUGUAGCAGUAGUCCAUCUCCUUACCAUGACAAACAAGGAUGCCAUCUCAGUUCUCCUACAGCUUACAGAAACAUGGACUUACUUACAGAAUUUGUCAUGUCUGCAAAUAUGUGCUUAUGGUGUGCUUCAAAUUCCCACUGCUUAUAAAGAAAAACUUGCACAAGCUUGAAAGAAGAAUGUUACAGAAGAAUAAAAAUCUGGAUUGUAAAACGAGGAAAUGGAAGUAACACAGAUUAUUAAGAAGCUGAACAUGAGCAUCUACCAGCCGCAAGAAGGAUUUGACGUGGUAACACAUAGGAGUUCAUCCUUACAGACUGAUCUGCACGCUCCAAAAGACAGAAUAGUAACAUAGUAAUUGAGACAGAACCUAUGUUAGUUAAAAAAAAAAAAAAAAUCUUGUCA